rnacentral:ncRNA from 1 species
UAUCGUGAGGUAGAAUCUGAAGGAACCGACGCCAAACCGAAUGCAACCAAGCUUGCUUGGAUUGCUGAGGUGCGAAGGAGGAAAAGUGAAACUUAACACAGCGGCAAACAUCUGGUCUGACGGACAGAAAUCCGAUAUAAGGCCUAUGGUGAGGAUAAGUUUGCAAACGAAGACAAAGUCCGAUAACUAUCCGAAAUCAUCCAAGGUAAAUCGGGCAGACAUAAGAUGGAAAGAGU